AUUGAACGCUUGCGGCAGGCCUAACACAUGCAAGUCGAACGAGUUGCGGACGUGUGAGUAAUGUCUGGGAAACUGCCUGAUGGAGGGGGAUAACUACUGGAAACGGUAGCUAAUCCCGCAUACCAUCAGAUGUUCCCAGAUGGGAUUAGCUUGUUGGUGGGGUAACGGCUCACCAAGGCGACGAUCCUUAGCUGGUCUGAGAGGAUGACACGGCACCCUGGAACUGAGACACGGUCCAGACGCCUACGGGAGGCAGCAGUGGGGAAUAUUGCACAAUGGGCGCAAUCCUGAUGCAGCCAUGCCGUGUGUAUGAAGAAGGCCUUCGGGUUGUAAAGUACUUUCAGCGGGGAGGCGUUAACCGCAGAAGAAGCACCGGCUAACUCCGUGCCAGCAGCCGCGGUAAUAC
rnacentral:rRNA from 1 species